AGGCAGGUCUGCAGGGGGCUCCAGAAGACAGAGUGGAGGUUAGGCACCAAUGACACAUCCUACAGGAAGAAAGACCUCAAUAGUGUUCAUAAAUACCUGUAGUGAGGACACAAAGGAGGUGGAGCCAAGGUGUUCCUAGUGGUGCCCAGUUAAGGAGAGGAGGCACACAGGCACAAACUGAGACACGAGAGGUUUCCUCUGUACAGCAGGAAACACUUUUGUGCUGUGAGGCAAAAAGCUCUGGCACAGGUUGCCCGGAGAGGUUGUGGAGCCUCCCUCACUGGAGAUACGUGGAAGCGUUCUGGACAUGGUCCUGGGCAAUUGGCUCUGCUUGAAUAGGAAAGCUGGGCCAGGUGACCUCCCCAGGUCCCUUCCAGCCUCAACUCUCCUGUGAAUCUGCAAUGAGAAUUUUAAGUAAAUUUUAAGUCAGUU